rnacentral:rRNA from 1 species
CUACGGGCGGCAGCAGUGGGGAAUUUUGGACAAUGGGGGCAACCCUGAUCCAGCCAUGCCGCGUGAGUGAAGAAGGCCUUCGGGUUGUAAAGCUCUUUCAGCCGGGAAGAAAUCGCAUGGGUUAAUACCCUGUGCGGAUGACGGUACCGGAAUAAGAAGCACCGGCUAACUACGUGCCAGCAGCCGCGGUAAUACGUAGGGUGCGAGCGUUAAUCGGAAUUACUGGGCGUAAAGCGUGCGCAGGCGGAUGCUUAAGUCAGAUGUGAAAUCCCCGGGCUUAACCUGGGAAUUGCAUUUGAAACUGAGUGUCUAGAGGGCGUCAGAGGGGGGUGGAAUUCCACGUGUAGCAGUGAAAUGCGUAGAUAUGUGGAGGAACACCAAUGGCGAAGGCAGCCCCCUGGGAUGACACUGACGCUCAUGCACGAAAGCGUGGGGAGCAAACAGGAUUAGAUACCCCAGUAGUC